GCAUACAUGGUGUAGCGGUAACAUUGGGUCUUCCCAAGUGGCUUCGCUGCCUCUUUACAUGGCCUAGCUCCGAGUUCGACUCUCGGUGUAUGCA